rnacentral:rRNA from 1 species
AUUGAACGCUGGCGGCGGGCCUAACACAUGCAAGUCGAGCGGAUGAAGGGAGCUUGCUCCUGGAUUCAGCGGCGGACGGGUGAGUAAUGCCUAGGAAUCUGCCUGGUAGUGGGGGAUAACGUCCGGAAACGGGCGCUAAUACCGCAUACGUCCUGAGGGAGAAAGUGGGGGCUCUUCGGACCUCACGCUAUCAGAUGAGCCUAGGUCGGAUUAGCUAGUUGGUGGGGUAAAGGCCUACCAAGGCGACGAUCCGUAACUGGUCUGAGAGGAUGAACAGUCACACUGGAACUGAGACACGGUCCAGACUCCUACGGGAGGCAGCAGUGGGGAAUAUUGGACGAUGGGCGAAAGCCUGAUCCAGCCAUGCCGCGUGUGUGAAGAAGGUCUUCGGAUUGUAAAGCACUUUAAGUUGGGAGGAAGGGCAGUAAGUUAAUACCUUGCUGUUUUGACGUUACCAACAGAAUAAGCACCGGCUAACUUCGUG